rnacentral:rRNA from 1 species
GAGACAGCAGUAGCCGCGGUAAUACGGAGGGUGCAAGCGUUAAUCGGAAUUACUGGGCGUAAAGCGCACGCAGGCGGUCUGACAAGUCAGAUGUGAAAUCCCCGGGCUUAACCUGGGAACUGCAUUUGAAACUGUCAGACUGGAGUCUUGUAGAGGGGGGUAGAAUUCCAGGUGUAGCGGUGAAAUGCGUAGAGAUCUGGAGGAAUACCGGUGGCGAAGGCGGCCCCCUGGACAAAGACUGACGCUCAGGUGCGAAAGCGUGGGGAGCAAACAGGAUUAGAGACCCCGGUAGUCCCUGUCUCUUAUAA